GGGCCUGUAGCUCAGCUUGGAUAGAGCACUUGAAACGAAAGCAAGGGGUCGAGGGUUCAAAUCCCUUCAGGCCCG
rnacentral:tRNA from 1 species